GGCCUCUUGGUCUAGAGGUAUGAUUCUCGCUUUGGGUACCAUGUGCAAAAUGCGAGAGGUCUCGGGUUCGAAUCCCGAAGAGGCCC